GUCUAUGACCAUACCACUGAAUGCACCUGAUCUCAUGUGAACUCGGAAGCUAAGCAGGGUCGGGCCUCGUUAGUACUUGGAUGGGAACAUCAUGAAAUUAGAGUAGCUGGGAGCA
rnacentral:rRNA from 1 species